CACGUAGGGGACGAGCGUUGUCCGGAUUCAUUGGGCGUAAAGCGCGCGUAGGCGGCCCGGAAAGUCGGGUGUGAAAGCCCGGGGCUCAACCCCGGGACUGCAUCCGAUACUUCCGGGCUGGAGGCAGGUAGGGGAGAUCGGAAUUCCUGGUGUAGCGGUGAAAUGCGCAGAUAUCAGGAGGAACACCGGUGGCGAAGGCGGAUCUCUGGGCCUUGCCUGACGCUAAGGCGCGAAAGCUAGGGGAGCGAACAGG
rnacentral:rRNA from 1 species